AUGCUGCAACUCUGGUUUGCUUUGAACUUACACUGCAGACAUGCUGCAGAUCUGCUUCAGAAACAGUGGCAGUGUGAUUUCCUGUCGGUACAUUCAGCAGCUCAGCUCGCAGCAGAAUCAAACUUCGCACCAAAGAUGAAGCUUUUUCCAAAACAAGUUCUCAAACGAUUCAGCACCUACAUCGCAGUCAUCGUGAUUUUUAUUUACAAUGUCGUGCUUGACAGGAGUUUGGAGUGCACCUGUGAAGAACAGACAACUGACUGCAUUGUAUACAUGACUCUGCCGUUUUUCAUCAUAUUUGUUUUACAACUCUGGACAGAAAAGACAUUUCAGAGAGUCUUGAACUACACAUGCUCAGAUCGCUGCAACCUUCUCUGCAUUUUAUUUUAUCACAUUCUUAAGGCAGCUUUCGUCGGCCUGCUGUGGAUUGUGUCUGUGUUAAUUGAUGGAGACUGGUACGUUUGUUGUUUGAACAAUGGUUCUGAAAACCAGGCACAGUUAGCCUGCAAAAACAAGAGUGACAUCACACCUGAGGAACGGAAAAUCAUCAACAAACUUAAAAACUACUCCUUGGUUAUCGGCCUCUCUCUGCUCCUCUGUGCUCUGUCUUUCACGGCCUCGGUGUCGUCAUUCAGGUGGUUGAAGUGCUGUUAUCAUUCAAGUUGUUGCAACAGAAAAAAACUAUAUUACAAAGUGAUUUUGAAGGAGGAGGAACAUGUUCUGAAGGACAUUUUAAUAGGGAAAGCAAAAGAACAGCUGACUGAAAAAAUCAUGGAAAAAAUACGCACACCAAACUGGGACGACUGUUUCGAUGCUGCUGUUGAACUGAUUAAAGAAGAAACUUCACCUGGACGUCCUGAAGCAGCAGAGCAGGUAAAUAACCUGCCGGCUGCAUUCUGAGCUUCAUGUGUCUUUGUCAUUAGCACCUGGACUCUUAGCAGCUUUGUUGGUUCAACACUUCAGAAUAUCAAAUUAAAUACAGACAUUCAUGUUCCCCAGAGGAUGAACCUCUUCUUUCUCUUUUCUUUUUGGUGAAGGAUUCAACGGCUACUAAAUUUGGUCCCUUUUGUUUGAAUUGUAAUAACUUUGUUGAUCCUCUGGCUAAAUCCAUUAUCAGUGAAUACAGAACAAACGGUGGCCUGUGAAAUGCAUCAGGUCACGUUUACAUAUAAGAAAAUCCAAAACAGCUCAAUUCAAUUCAAGUUUUAAUAAUUAUUAUUUUUGUUUCAUGUUGUUCAUCAGAUCAAUGUAUAAUUAAGGGUCAUAUAUAUAUAUAAGACUUGAAUUGAUGUAUAAGCAAACAAUGAUUGCCAAACUGCUCCUGAUGUUCUGGUCGGCGUCAUGCACAGCAGCCGCCAUCAGUGUAUGAAUGUAUGUGUGAGUUACUGUAAGUCGCUUUGGACUAAAAUCUAUCUGACGUGGCACAAAUGUUCACAGACGAGAUCGUGUUUUAGGUUUUAAAUAUUGUAUCUUUAAUAGAAGUUACUAACUCAGAAAGCUCUUUAUGUUUUGUGAGGUAAAAAGUAAAAUAUUUCCUCUGAAAUGUUAUGGAGCAGAACUAUAGAUAAUAAGUAAAUGUACUUCAUUACUCUUCACCACUGACACGUUACACAUUAUAUCCAGGGAAAAGGCGACACCAGGUGGACAAACUGUGAACUACAGGAACAAACUCCUCCAGCAGUUGAUGACAGUUUUAAAGAAAUGUUUCCAUCAUGCUUUAUAUUUUCUGUGGCCCUGCACUGAAGUGUUUGUGAGUUCUUGACAUCCGUUUUGUUGCAACCUACCCAGCUGUCAAAUCCUCGAUCUGAAUGCUCAUGAUAUUAAACCACAACAUAGGUUGCCCUAUAGGUUACAGUAAAACAUUUCUUUACAUCAAAAGAAAUAUUGAGCUCAUCUUCCACAAAGAGGUCACGAUAAAUAGAUGACUUGAGGUAAAAUGUCGACACAUUGUGAUUUAAGGUUUAAACAUUUAGUUUUUGCAUUGAACAUCCUUCUCAAACAUUGUAGUGAAAAAUCACUCUCACAGUGACAUAGAGGGAAAUUCAUCUGGAGGCCGCUGUUCCUCUUUGUUAAACAGUUUGGAUCUGAUGAAGUUGCAGUUUGUAACGUUAAACCUGCGUAAUUAAGCCGACAUGACUUUACUGUGAGUCAAGAAAUGGACUGCAUGAGCUGAACAGUUUAUGAUCCUACAUGUGAAAUUUGAUACCUUUGUUUUUUGUUUGUUUGCCCAACAUGCUGGAACACGUCGGAGUCACAGUGAGCUUUCAGGCUCUGCUGGAAUGUAUUUACUUCUCUUUCUUUGUCUGGUUAAAACUGUUUUCCUUGAUCACAAAUGUAACUGAACACCCUUUGUUCAUGAAGUGGCUCAUAGUUCAGACAAAAAAAGAUAUCCACAGUGCCUGGAUCACAGUGGACAACACCUGGAGGGUAGCAGUUAAAAAUAAAUAUAACUAAACAUGUCGUUAUAGGCUGAGCAAAAUUGCAGUGCAGAUGGUUAGGCAGGCCGAGGACGUUACACAGCAGAUAAGUCAGCAGGAGCAACAGGCAACCCUCCAUGUGCAGGAGGUCAUCAAAGAGAGGUGGGAGGUGAUGGACGGGAGGAGGACCACUCGGAGGACUCUGGAGAAUAGAAGCACAAAGUCACAGCUAAAUGCCCAGCAUCAGAAUCUGAGCGCAUAAAAUGUGGGAAAAAGGAUCAUUUGUAGAGGGAAUGUUUCUCUAUUUCAGUAAGAGAAGUCACUUACAGUGAAGUCAUUGCAGCACUUAAAGAGCCACUACAGCCGACACCUCAAGUCAAGUUAAAUUUAUUAUUCCACAGGGGGAAAUUAAGUUGCAGCCAGGUAUUAAGAAACCCACAACCAACAACACAACACACAAGAUAAUAAAUAAUAAUGGAGAAGGCAUUACACCACAGAUAGACAAAGACCAGUACAUGAAUAAAAUACAGUGCAACAUCACUACAUGGAAAGGCCAAGAUAAGCAAUAGUCCAAAAGUCCAGUGUGCAAAGAAGAAGAAAGUGCAGUAGUGACAUCAUUUGAGCAAACUCUGCCGACCUCUGUCAGAACGACUUUCGCAACAGAUAGCCACGGACAUGUGUAAGUAUAAAGGCAAGUGUUACAGUGUUAGAUCAGACUAUUACUCAUAUUACGUGGUAGUUUUGUGCUUACCAACGACCACAACAGCUUAUCACUGAUGCUGUUGUCAGUUCUUGACAUCUGUUUUGCUGCAACCUGCCAAGCCAUCAUGUCUUCUAUCUGCAUUCUUCUGAAAUAAAACCAAAACAUAUGUUGCCCCUAUGUUACAGUAAAACAUGGAAAUAUUGAGCUCAUCUUCCACAAAGAGGUCUUGAUAAAUAGAUAAUUUGAGGUAAAGUGUUGACAUGUUGUAAUUUGAGGUUUAAACAUUUGGUUUUUGCAUUGAACGUCUGUCUGUCUGUCGAACAUGGUGAAAGUAGUGAAAAAUCACAGUGACGUAGAGGGAAAAGUCAUCAAGAUACCUCUGUCCCUUUUGCAGUUUGUAACGUUAAACCUGCAUCAAUAAGUCAACAUGACUUUACUGUGAGUCAAGAAAUGGACUGCAUGAGCUGAACAGUUUCUGAUCCUACAUGUGAAAGUUGAUACCUUUGUUUUUUGUUUGUUUGCCCAACAUGUUGGAACACGUCGGAGUCACAGCGAGCUUUCAGGCUCUGCUGGAAUUUAUUUACUUCUCUUUCUUUGUCCUGUUAAAACUGUUUUCCUUUAUCACAAAUGUAACUGAACUCUUUGCUAUGAGAAAACUGAGGUGAAGCAAAUCUAAAUGAUCAUGAACUGGGUCAUAGUUCAGACAAAAAAGACAUCCACAGUGCCUGGAUCACAGUGGACAACACCUGGAGGAUAGCAGUUAAAAAUAAAUAUAACUAAACAUGUCGUUGGCU
rnacentral:lncRNA from 1 species